rnacentral:lncRNA from 1 species
AUACACCUGUAAGGGAAGGCCUGACAGACACCAGAGUUUGAAAUAAGGAAAUCCCCUCACUGCUGUUUGACAGUUCACUUCGGUUCUUCAGCUAUGAACACUUCCUCUAAAUGAAAGCAGAAGCGGCAAAGUGAUUCAAGACACCAAAGCAAACAUACACACACCCACACACACAAGACACAAGUUGUAUAGUGACAAAAGACCGUGAAAAGAAUCACAUGGUAGUGAGAGCUCGCCUAGUUCCAGGUGGGUGAGGAGAAAGUAAAUAGACGAAACUGGUUCAGCAGGUAAACUGGCAUGAAACGGCUGUUGUGGACUGCUAGCACGCUCGUGAUGUGGUAAAUAUUUAAUCAAACCCAAGAUUUCCAACCUUCUCAAGCUACAAACCGGAGACACAAGAGAAAGUUUGCACUGUGGUGACACAAUGACAUCACCGAGGAAAACCUGGGGUUCUCCUCUAUGCGUUCAAGGACUAGACCGCCACUGGAUGAAGGGGAAAAUUAUUUCAGAAGAAGAUUGUUUUCUUCUUUUAGAAGUGAUCGACAACGAUCUCAAGGAGAGGAAGAUGACGCAGAUAAGAGAAGAACUUUCUCAGAUACAGAGAUUGAGACCAACAAAGGUAAGACUUCUUGAGCCUACCUAACUUUUCCACCAAUGCAUUUUUUUUUUUUAAUCAUUUGAUAUGUGCACUAAAUACUGUUUUCAGUAUGUUUGCACUGGCAGAUCUGUGAGCCAGUUUAUUCAGAAAUAAAGCUCUUGUAUUCAAUACAUUGGCUAUAGAAAAUGAGGCUGUAACUCUGAGAAUUUACUUGUGGAUUUCUACCAAAAUGAAAGCCAGCAGAUGCGUUAUUAGCAAGUGUUAUUCAUUGAGAUUAAAAUCUCUUUUACAAUAGUCACUUGGUAAUGAAAGCAUCAAAAGACAAACAAACGCGGACAUGCAAAGUAUACAGUGUCAUAUAAAUUAUGUCGUUUACUAUAUAUAUAUAUAUAUAUAUAUAUAUAUAUAUAU